rnacentral:rRNA from 1 species
CAGCAGCCGCGGUAAUACGAAGGGUGCAAGCGUUAAUCGGAAUUACUGGGCGUAAAGCGUGCGUAGGCGGUGAGUUAAGUCUGCUGUGAAAUCCCCGGGCUCAACCUGGGAAUGGCAGUGGAUACUGGCUCGCUAGAGUGUGUCAGAGGAUGGUGGAAUUCCCGGUGUAGCGGUGAAAUGCGUAGAGAUCGGAAGGAACAUCUGUGGCGAAGGCGACUAUCUGGGCCAACACUGACGCUGAGGCACGAAAGCGUGGGGAGCAAACAGGAUUAGAUACCCCAGUAGUCCCUGUCUUUUAUAC